AACCCAUCACCUCCAUACCUAUUCCAUUCUGUCACCUGCUCCAUAUUUCGAAUACAAAUCUGGGUUUUGGAGCUCUCUCGCCAUAGCCGCUAUUGCUGUUUUCUACAAUUUGUGUUUCAAUGGCGGUUGCGAGUAGUUCUCUGACAGGUGGAAGUUUCAAUUUAAGUUCUACGUCUUGUUCUACGUCGUCUUCUCCUUCUCUGGAUUGUUUUCGUCAUCAACUUAGUUUUUUCGGGAGUCGGAGAAGAAUUAAGCCGUUGGUAUAUUGGACGAGAUCGCAUUCCUUGAGCCCUAAAU
rnacentral:misc_RNA from 1 species